GUGCUUGCUUCAACAGCGCAUACACUAAAAUUGGAACAAUACAGAGAAGAAUAGCAUGGCCCCUGUGCAAGGAUGACAUGCAAAUUUGUGAAGUGUUCCAUAUUUAC